CUGUAAUGACAUAUAAUAAUGCAUUUAAUCCAUCCUCUCUUGAUGGGCAUUGGGAAUGCUUCCAAUUUUGUCUUAAUAAAAUGACAUUAGAGUGAAAAACGAGAAUAGACUCCAAGGCUUGGGUCUCAAAACCAGCAUCCUGCUUACUCCUCAUGCCUCACCCAAGAGUGUAGUAGAAUCACAGAUGCCAUCACAAUAUUAGCCACGGGACAGCAUCGGAGGAUGUGCUCUAGCAGUGUGUUAGGGAUGCUACGCAAGAAACAUGUGCAUCUGUGUUUCCGCCCAAUGCAGGGAUGCCGGCUCCAAUCAGAGAGCUGUCCCUACCACCAAAAGAAAAGUAGAAAAUAAACCUUCCCAAUGCUGCAGGACAACAGAGAACACAGAAAUAAAACACCCAAGCUGUUGGCCAAAACACAGAAUACUUAAUCUGGAGGAAAGCCCAAAACCUAACCUGGACUUCAUACGAGUGGAGGAGCAUCCUGCAGAGAAAAAGUGGCUUCAUUCCCCUGGAAGCACCGUCUUCAUGCCACUGUCAUUCACUGCAGACACAAGGUCCAUGGAUGGUGAAGCCAGGGCAGAGCAGCCUGAUAGAUCGUGGUCCUAUGUUCUCGCCUCUCCUGGCCAGGGUAGCUCACGGCUCGCCGGGAACCACACCCUGAAGCAGCAGCCUCCACAUCAGAAGAAAUGAAGCCCCAUCUCCAUAACGCAGGGCAUGACCAAAGGAUGCUGAUGCUAAUAGGCUGGAUCCCUCUCUGAAGAGGCUGAUGACCAGGGUCAGGAGGUGAAAGAAUUAAUAAUGCUGGAUGAUUCCCAGGCACUUAGGAUGGUGAUUAAUCAGCCUUAUAAAGCACUUAGCGGGACUCUUGCAGUGUCUCUAUACACACUUUCAGUGCAGAGUGGCACAGCAGCAAAAGCACAGACUCAGAUUUCCAAGAGCGGCUUUCUAGUCCAAGUCCUGCAACCUUAUAGCUGUGAGACCUCAGGCAACCCUCUUCCCCUCUCUGGGCCACAGUUUACUUAUCUGCAAAAUGGAGAAAAUGUUGUCUGACUUGCCUCUAAGGCUGCUGAGAGAAUGAAACAAGAUCGCUCACGUGACAGUGUUUGGUGGACUCUGAGAUGAGGCAUCAAGGUGGUUUCGGUGACACGAAGAUAGUGACGAUGGGUUGAUUGAUCCUUCCCAGACGGAGCACAAUUCUCAUGACCAUAUUCACUUCCAGUGAACAGGUUAACCAUGAUGAGAACUUUGUGAAACGGAUCUACUCUUCACAGGACUUUCUUUUCUGAAGAUGAGACUGUGGUCAUAAGCCCACAGUACACUUUCAUACUGGGAAGAGACUGGAGGUCCAGAGGGGCCCAUGUUUUUUCAAGGCCCCAUCAAGAAGUAAUGAGGAGUCUGAUGCCACAUUCACUUGGCUAAACAUUAAUGGCUGUGAACGGCUAGUAAGUUUAGACACAUGUUUGCCUACCUCUUUCCCAAGCUAAAUUUUCAACUAAAAAGACUCGUCAUUAGGACUGUUAGCUUUGAGGGGCACCUGGGUGGCUGUCAGUUACAUCUGCCUUCAGCUCAGGUCAUGAUCCCAUGGUCCUGGGAUCGAACCCCAUGUCGGGCUCCCUGCUCAGUGGGGCGUCUGCUGCUUCUCCCUCUCCCUCUGCCGCUCUCUCUCUCUCUCUCUCUCUCUGUCAAAAAAAAAAAAAAAAAGAAAGAAAAGAAAUAAAAUAAAAUAUUGGGGAAAAAAAACUGUUAGC
rnacentral:lncRNA from 12 species